rnacentral:ncRNA from 1 species
UAGCAGGUGAUGAUGGAGAAGAGUAACCACUUUUGGUUUUGCCUCAGGGAGCCGGGGAUGGUGUGAACCGGUCGAACCAGGUGGUGAAGGGGCUUCGGAGCCGCAGGAGGAAACCCCGGUGUAGAUCAGCUGGGGAAGUAAAGCCUGCAUAAAACUAAGGGGGCGCAAGACUGUGCCAAGCAGGGUGGAACCGCGGGAAUCCCGUCCCUGCA